AUUCGCCUGCUUGGAUCGCACUCCUCUUCAUGUUUCCCGCGCAAUUCGGACAGGUCGGACAAUAUGCAUCGGGCUUUCCACACCGGUAGCAGAAAAGUCGCCUCUCCGAUGCCAUACAGUCCCUAAAGCCAUGAUCGGUCUGCCCGCAUUUCCAGCAAAUCGACUUCUGUGGAACACGCUGUUUCACUUGGGCUUCCUCAAUGACUUCUGCCUCUUCAUCGCUAAUCGACCGAUCCUGCGCGACCUCGCUGACGUUCGCAUUCGCCCCGCGGCCAUAGUUUGUGGCUUUGGGUGCUCCUCGCCACGAAGAUCGAGCCUUCCUCUUCAGAUGUGCCUCUAUUUCCACGCACUCAUCCCGCAGUUGGUCUAAGGAAUAAACCCGUGGUGGCAUCUCCAAGCUCGAAGCGAUCUUUCUCAUGACAUGGAAGAAGUCUUCCCCACUCUCGUUUGACCGCUGCAUUCUCUCUCGCAGUUCUCUCAUGCGGUCGAACUCGGACGCCGUGCCUCGGAAACUUCGCCCCUUAGUUCCUGCCAAACACCACCGCUCUGGUCGCGGAUGUACAGCCAGUACCAUUCCCACGUGUUUCCUGUAACCAGGUGAUGAAACCCCUUAAGAACUUCAUCCCACGGACAGCGGCAUUGGGCUUGUAGGAAUUCAAUUCGGAACACAAAAUCCUCGACCGUCAUUUUGUUGCUGUCUCCGUCGAACCUCACGUCCCAUUUUUCGACUCGGCCCCACCGUGGCCAAGGUCUAUAACCCGGGGGAUUUGGAUGCGGAUCUUCUCGAGGAAUCCCACCAGCUCUCCUACUCUCGCCACGACCCUGACCCGAGUGUCUGAGUGCUAUCGGGUUUCGCCAAUUUCGCGCUUGAUGCCCACCCACGCUUCGGACCAAUAAAUACUCCGAUAAAUAAAUAAAUAAAUACCGAUAUAAAUAUUGCGCCAACUAGCGCCGUUAACGAGAUAUAUGCAAUUAAAUAUUUGAAUAAAUAAAUAA